GCAAACUUUACAAUGCGAGCAAUCGUGAUAAGGAAACCCUGAGUGCCUGUCGAUGCAGGCUGUUCAUAUAUCUAAAUCAUAUGUGAAGAAAGGGCAGGGCAAGACCGGUGCCAGCCGCCGCGGUAAUACCGGCUGCUCGAGUGAUGGCCACUAUUACUGGGUUUAAAGCGUCCGUAGCUUGACUGUUAAGUCUCUUGGGAAAUCUUCACGCUCAACGUGAAGGCGUCUAAGAGAUACCGGCAGUCUUGGAACUGGGAGAGGUAAACCGUACUUCGGGGGUAGGAGUGAAAUCUUGUAAUCCUCGAGGGACGACCUAUGGCGAAGGCAGUUUACCAGAACAGCUUCGACAGUGAGGGACGAAAGCUGGGGGAGCAAACGGGAUUAGAUACCCCGGUAGUCCCAGCCGUAAACAAUGUGCGUUAGGUGUGUCGGUAACCACGUGUUACUGAUGCGCCGAAGAGAAAUCGUGAAACGCACCACCUGGGAAGUACGGUCGCAAGGCUGAAACUUAAAGGAAUUGGCGGGGGAGCACCACAACAGGUGGAGCCUGCGGUUUAAUUGGAUUCAACGCCGGACAUCUCACCGGAUAAGACAGCUGANUGAUUGUCAAUCUGAAGGUUUUACAUGACUAGCUGAGAAGAGGUGCAUGGCCAAUCACUAGUGAAUUCG
rnacentral:rRNA from 1 species